rnacentral:tRNA from 1 species
CCACUGCUUAGUUGGUAAAGCACAAGGCUCUUAACCUUAUGGUCAUGGGUUCUAGCCCCACGGUGGG